AGUGGGACGCAAGGGAACACACUGUGCUUGCACACCGUGUUUUCUUGAGUCGCGAACGGGUGAGUAACGCGUAGGUAACCUGCCUAUUAGCGGGGGAUAACUAUUGGAAACGAUAGCUAAUACCGCAUAAUAUUAAUUAUUGCAUGAUAAUUGAUUGAAAGAUGCAAGCGCAUCACUAGUAGAUGGACCUGCGUUGUAUUAGCUAGUUGGUAAGGUAAGAGCUUACCAAGGCGACGAUACAUAGCCGACCUGAGAGGGUGAUCGGCCACACUGGGACUGAGACACGGCCCAGACUCCUACGGGAGGCAGCAGUAGGGAAUCUUCGGCAAUGGACGAAAGUCUGACCGAGCAACGCCGCGUGAGUGAAGAAGGUUUUCGGAUCGUAAAGCUCUGUUGUAAGUCAAGAACGUGUGUGAGAGUGGAAAGUUCACACAGUGACGGUAGCUUACCAGAAAGGGACGGCUAACUACGUGCCAGCAGCCGCGGUAAUACGUAGGUCCCGAGCGUUGUCCGGAUUUAUUGGGCGUAAAGGGAGCGCAGGCGGUCAGGAAAGUCUGGAGUAAAAGGCUAUGGCUCAACCAUAGUGUGCUCUGGAAACUGUCUGACUUGAGUGCAGAAGGGGAGAGUGGAAUUCCAUGUGUAGCGGUGAAAUGCGUAGAUAUAUGGAGGAACACCAGUGGCGAAAGCGGCUCUCUGGUCUGUCACUGACGCUGAGGCUCGAAAGCGUGGGUAGCGAACAGGAUUAGAUACCCUGGUAGUC
rnacentral:rRNA from 1 species